GUUUUUUUGAAAAUAAUAUAAAGUUUAAUUUGCCCCCUGAAUUAAUUUAAAGGGCUGCAGUAUAUUGACUGUACAAAGGUAGCAUAAUCAAUAGUCUUUUAAUUGAAGACUUGUAUGAAUGAUUUGAUGAAAUAUAAACUGUCUCUUUUUUAAAAUUAAAAUUUAAUUUUUUAGUUAAAAAGCUAAAAUAAAUAUAAAAGACGAGAAGACCCUAUAGAGUUUUAUAAUUAUUUUUAUUUAUUUUAUAUAUUAAUAUUAAAAAUUAAAUGUAAAUAAUUAUUUUGUUGGGGUGAUAGAAAAAUUUAAUUAACUUUUUUUUAAAUUUAACAUUAAUAUAUGAAUAUAUGAUCCAUAUUUUAUGAUUAAAAGAAUAAAUUACCUUAGGGAUAACAGCGUAAUUUUUUUUUUUAGUUCAUAUAAAAAAAAGAGUUUGCGACCUCGAUGUUGGAUUAAAAUAAAAUUUAAAUGCAAAAGUUUAAAAUUUUUGAUCUGUUCGAUCAUUAAAAUCUU
rnacentral:rRNA from 1 species